rnacentral:rRNA from 1 species
CUGGAAAGUCGCGCCAUAGACGGUGAUAGCCCGGUAUUCUAAGGUAACUGAAGCGUAGUGGUAUCCUGAGUAGCGCGGAGCACGAGGAAUUCUGCGUGAACCAGCCGGGACCAUCCGGUAAGGCUAAAUACUCCCGAGAGACCGAUAGCGAACCAGUACUGUGAAGGAAAGGUGAAAAGCACUUCGAAUAGAAGAGUGAAAUAGUCCCUGAAACCAUGCGCCUACAAGCGGUCGGAGCAGCUUAUGCUGUGACGGCGUGCCUUUUGCAUAAUGAACCUACGAGUUACUUUUUCCGGCAAGGUUAAGCAUCUUGAGAUGUGGAUCCGAAGCGAAAGCGAGUCUGAACAGGGCGGAUAGUCGGAAGGAGUAGACGCGAAACCAAGUGAUCUACCCUUGGGCAGGUUGAAGGUUAGGUAACACUAACUGGAGGACCGAACCGAUAAGCGUUGAAAAGCUUCCGGAUGACCUGAGGGUGGGGGUGAAAGGCUAAUCAAACUUGGAGAUAGCUCGUACUCCCCGAAAUGCAUUUAGGUGCAGCCUUGAGAAUUACUAAUGUGAGGUAGAGCGACUGAUAAGAUGCGAGGGCUUCACCGCCUAUCAAGUCUUGAUAAACUCCGAAUGCGCAUUAGUUCGAUCUCAGGAGUGAGGGCAUGGGUGCUAAGGUCCAUGUCCUAAAGGAGAAGAAUCCAGACCAUCAGCUAAGGUCCCCAAAUAAACACUAAGUUGAACUAACGAAGUCAGAUUGCUAAGACAGCUAGGAUGUUGGCUUGGAAGCAGCCAUUCAUUUAAAGAGUGCGUAACAGCUCACUAGUCGAGGAGUUUGGCGUGGAUAAUAAUCGGGCAUUAAGUGUUUUACCGAAGCUAUGGGAUACGUAAGUAUCGGUAGGGGAGCAUUCCACUCUGCGUUGAAGGCGAAGCGUGAGCUUUACUGGAGCGUGUGGAAAAGCAAAUGUAGGUAUAAGUAACGAUAAAGGGGGUGAGAAACCCCCUCGCCGCAAGACUAAGGUUUCCUGAUCAACGCUAAUCGGAUCAGGGUUAGUCGGGUCCUAAGGCUCAGCCGAACGGUGAUGCCGAUGGCAGAACAGGUUAAUAUUCCUGUACUAGCAUUAAGAGUGACGUGGAGACGGAGGAGUGACAACGCCGCGGACUGACGGAAUAGUCCGUUAAAGGGUGUAGAUGUUGAUUGUCCCAGGCAAAUCCGGGAUAAGAGUCGAACCUGAUAGUAUACCAAUUUCCUCGGAAAACGGUAAUAGUGCGUGUAAACAUACUCCCAAGAAAAUCCGCUAAACUUAAUCUUAAUGGUACCCGUACCGCAAACGGACACACGUAGUCGGGUUGAAUAUACUCAGGCGCUUGAGUGAAUCACGGUUAAGGAACUAGGCAAAUUGACCCUGUAACUUCGGGAUAAAGGGUCCCUACCCGGUGACGGGAGGGCGCAGAGAAUAGGUCCAGGCAACUGUUUAACAAAAACACAGGGCUGUGCAAAAUUGAAAGAUCACGUAUACAGCCUGACACCUGCCCGGUGCUGGAAGGUUAAGAGGAGAUGUCAUCGCAAGAGAAGCAUUGAAUUGAAGCCCCAGUAAACGGCGGCCGUAACUAUAACGGUCCUAAGGUAGCGAAAUUCCUUGUCGGGUAAGUUCCGACCUGCACGAAUGGUGUAAUGAUCUGGACACUGUCUCAACCGUGAGCUCAGUGAAAUUGUAGUAUCGGUGAAGAUGCCGAUUACCCGCGAUGGGACGAAAAGACCCCGUGAACCUUUACUAUAGCUUAACAUUGAAUUUGGGUAAUUGAUGUGUAGGAUAGGCCGGAGACUUUGAAGCAGGUACGCCAGUAUUUGUGGAGUCGCUGUUGAAAUACGGCCCUUUGAUUAUUUGAGUUCUAACUCGCAGUUGCGAGGACACUGUUUGGUGGGUAGUUUGACUGGGGUGGUCGCCUCCAAAAGUGUAACGGAGGCUUCUAAAGGUGCCCUCACGCCGAUUGGUAACCGGCG